GCACUGGGGGACUUGAACCACAUAACUGCUGCUUUCUCCUCUUAGGCUCAGCCUAUAAGCUAGUGUAUUACUUUACCAACUGGUUGCUGUAUUGACCAGAACCAGCCAAGUUAUUUCCUAAGAAUGUGAACCCAUAUCUGUAUACAAUUGAUGUACGCCUUCGCCACUGUGAAUGACAAAAUUGCUUCUUAUGAAUGGAAUGAUAGUGAUGUCCUAUAUCCUCAGUUCCAAGCCCUGAAAGAACAAUCUAAUGGUGACCUGGUCAACUUGCUGGCCACUGGUAGAGGGAACUUUGGUACUCAGAAUUCAUAACCAUUGGUGCCACAGAUGCCAAUCACAAGAUUUUCAACUGUUCUGUCAUUGACUUCUUUCGCCAACGUGGAUUUGAUGGCAUUGACCUGAAUAUCAAAUAUCCAGGGUCUCAGGGAAGCCCACCUGAGGACAAACAGUAAUUUACCGAAAUGCUGGAGGCUUUUGAAGAAGAGGCUAAAGGAACAGGACACCCCAGGCUGCGUAUCACAGCAGCUAUAUCUGCUGGCAAGGAGACCAUUGAUGCAGGAUAUGAAAUUUCAGAGAUCAAGAAUCCAGGCUCCUUGAUUUCAUCAGUGUGAUGACUUAUGACUUCCAAGGUGGCUGGGACACAUCUACAGUACACAAUAGUCCCCUACACAUAGAAUCCAAGGAUCAGGGUGAAAUGCAUUAUUUCAACUUAUGCCAUGAUGUACUGGAGAGACAAUGGGAUCCUAACAGAGGAGCUCAUCACAGGGCUCCCCACCUAUGGGAGGACCUAGAUCUGCACAUUCUUAAGAGAAGCCACAAGUACAUGGAUUGAAGAUCAAAAAGUCCCAUAUGCUUACAAAACACUGAGUGGAUUGGUUAUGAUCAGGUGGACUUUCUCAAGGAGAACAAUUUUGCUUGGUCCAUGGUUUGGACCAUUGAUUUGGAUGACUUCUCAAGGUCCUUCUGCAAUGAGAGGAAAUACCUGCUCAUAAGCAAGCUGAAGUCACACCUGGUUCUGUCCUCAGGUGUUCUGUAGUGGUAAAGCAGAUGGCAUUUAUAGUAAUCCUGAAGAUAAUAACAAGUUCUACUGGUGUGUGGAAGGCAAUACCUUUCACCUCAAGUAUGCCCAAGGU
rnacentral:lncRNA from 1 species